UACGGAGGGUGCAAGCGUUAUCCGGAUUUACUGGGUUUAAAGGGUGCGUAGGUGGGUCUGUAAGUCAGUGGUGAAAUCUCCGAGCUUAACUCGGAAACUGCCAUUGAUACUAUAGAUCUUGAAUUAUCUGGAGGUGAGCGGAAUAUGUCAUGUAGCGGUGAAAUGCUUAGAUAUGACAUAGAACACCAAUUGCGAAGGCAGCUCACUACGGAUUGAUUGACACUGAGGCACGAAAGCGUGGGGAUCAAACAGG
rnacentral:rRNA from 1 species